CUAAAAACCUAGCCACACUUCAUCAUAUGAAAUUCUCUAUUUAUGUAAUUAAACUAAAAUAUUCUAAUGCUGUAGUAAAGACGAUUAAAAAAUCAACUCGAGCAAUAAAUAUGUACCGCAAGGGAAAGCUGAAAUAAAAAUGAAACAAAUUUUAAGCACAAAAAAGUAGAGACAAACCCUCGUACCUUUUGCAUUAUGGUUUAACUAGUUUAACUAAGCAAAAAGAUUUUAAGUUUAACAUCCCGAAACUAAGUGAGCUACUCUAGGGCAGCCUCCCGAGCAAACCUGUCUACGUUGUAAAGUAGUAGGAAGACCCUAAAGUAGAGGUGACAGACCUAACGAACUUAGUGAUAGCUGGUUUCUCAGGAAAAGAAUUUUAGUCCAACCUAAAGCUGCCUCAUUAUACUUAAAUAUAAAUUCAACUUUAGAGCAACUCAAAUAAGGUACAGCCUAUUUGAAUCAGGAAACAACCUUCACCAAUGGGUAAACAAUAUCUGCAUUACAACUAAGUAGGCCUAAAAGCAGCCACCUUUUAAAAAGCGUUAAAACUUAAAUUCACGCAACAACAAAUAACCUACCCCAUACUGACCCCUUCAAUUGUACUGAGUAUUUCUAUAUUGUUAUAGAACCUUUUAUGUUAAAACUAGUAACAAGAAGUAACACUUCUCUUUAAUGUAAACGUAAGUCAGUAAGGACCCACCACUGACUAUUAACAAUUCACAAUAGCAACUUCACUAGAAAAUCCUAUUAUGUAUAUUUUAUUGUUAACCUAACACAAGAACAUCUCAAGACAGAUUGAAAGAAUAAAGAAGGAACUCGGCAAACCACUAACCCCGCCUGUUUACCAAAAACAUCGCCUCUUGUAAUUAUAAGAGGUCCAGCCUGCCCAGUGACUUUUGUUUAACGGCCGCGGUAUCCUGACCGUGCGAAGGUAGCGUAAUCACUUGUUUUUUAAAUAAAGACUAGUAUGAAUGGCAUCACGAGGGUUAUACUGUCUCCUUUUUCCAAUCAGUGAAACUAAUCUCCCCGUGAAGAAGCGGGGAUAAUGCCAUAAGACGAGAAGACCCUAUGGAGCUUUAAACUUAACAGCACUUGCAACUACUAAAAAUACCCCUAAACGCAUCUUGCUGAAAGUUUUAGGUUGGGGUGACCGCGGAGAAAAACUAAUCCUCCCCAUUGUAACAGAUUAUUCUUAAGUGAAAAGCCACAACUUGAUACAUCAACACUAUUGACAUCCAUUGACCCAGUAUUCUGAUCAACGAACUAAGUUACCCUAGGGAUAACAGCGCUAUCCAUUUUGAGAGUUCCUAUCGACAAAUGGGCUUACGACCUCGAUGUUGGAUCAGGGUAUCCUAGUGGUGUAGCCGCUACUAAUGGUUCGUUUGUCAAACG
rnacentral:rRNA from 1 species